GACGAACGCUGGCGGCGUGCCUAAUACAUGCAAGUCGAACGCAGUGGGGACGGGGGAGUGACACGUGGGUAACCUCCCAUCAGAGGGGAUAACACUUGGAAACAGGUGCUAAAACGAUACGGAAGGAAGGAGCAGCGGUGCAUUAGCGAGUUGGUGGGGUAACGGCUCACCAAGGCGACGAUGCAUAGCCGACCGUAGAGUGUGAUCGGCCACACUGGGACGGAGACACGGCCCAGACUCCUACGGGAGGCAGCAGUAGGGAAUCUUCGGCAAUGGACGAAAGUCUGACCGAGCAACGCCGCGUGAGUGAAGAAGGUUUUCGGAUCGUAAAACUCUGUUGUUAGAGAAGCGGUAUCUAACCAAAAAGCCACGGCUAACUACGUGCCAGCAGCCGCGGUAAUUC
rnacentral:rRNA from 1 species